AAGUUGUAAUGCGACAAACGCGUUUCGUUUGUUAUUAUCGGUAAUUACUAAUUACCUACAUAAUAUUCAAAAACAAGCAAUAAUUAAAUAAUUUUACUUUAUCAUUUUUUUCCUAUCUCCGUACCUAUAGUUUAUUUGUGAAUUUUAAUUAAGAAACGUCACGUAAAAUUAUUACGAGCGUCGAGCACCCCACCAUUGUCGGGUCGUAAUCGCGAUAGCCGACGUUUGUUUUGUUAUUUUUUCUCUUCUCUCUGUCAGUAGCCAAAGCUAAACACACACAGAACCACUGACACGUUUUUUGUGUUGCGUACGUUUUUCUUUCGUCUAUUUAUUAUUGUUUUCUCGUGAAGUUGCCACAAAAAAAUGGAGUCGUCACUUGGAAACACUUUCCCGUGCUAGUGAGCGCUGCCGGACAAGCUAAGCCAUCUAAGGUGGUCGGUCACGACAGACAUCCCGAAUCCAUUAUACACAACAACAAAAAAGGUACCAGUAUAGCAAGCGACACAAAAUUAGUCAAAUUGAUAACAUAUAAAAAAACACUAACUGUUAUAUCAAGUAAAAAACAUUUAAUUUGGAUUCAAAAUACAAUAGAAAAAAAAAAUAUACACGGUUUAAAAAGAACUAGAUGUCAUUGUUAAAGGUGUCAAUGUAGAAUACAACAUAACCGCUUGUACUAAGCUUCCAAACCAAUAAAAACAGUAGAUUGAAAAUUCUAAAAAAAAAUGUUGGAUUCAAAUACCAAGGUAUACUGAAGCAUGCAACAUACUUUUAAUGGAACAAAUCGUCUCCAUUAAAUGUUUAUGAAGUGCAGUUCUUAGCCAUAAUACUAAACUCAAUAAAUGUAUUAUAACGGAUAUUAAUGUUAUGGAAUCCCUAUAAAUGCCAACGUGUUCCC
rnacentral:lncRNA from 1 species